GAGAAAGUGCAUCCGUCGAGUUCUAAUGGAGUUCUGAGAUGGAGUCUUUGGGACCAUGUGCCCCAUAGUGGAGAGGUGGCCUCGGUACAUAUCCUGCUGAAUCUGCAGGGCCCAGCAGAGAACCUUGAACAUGUGGGCAGCUUCAUAGCUCUCAGAGAAAUGAACCAGAAUCUACACGUAGCUCUUCAAAUUACUUCACAUUUGCUGUUAAUAAAGUAUGUCUGUAUUUAAAAUUGA
rnacentral:lncRNA from 1 species